GGGGGCGCAUAGUUGCAGAGUGGAAGUAACGCAAUUGGCUGUGAGGCGGCUGGAGCUCCGCUGGAGCUGUGCCUUUUUCUGGUCAGCCCAGCCCAGCUACUUGGCCACCUUUCCCUCCCUUCUCCCUGGCUGGGUCCUCUUCUUUCCUUUCUUCCUCCUCCCCCCCAGCCCCCACCCCACUGCCAGCCCUGCUUGCCUGUCAUGUUGGCACCUGGAGGAGCCAGCAGCGAGUUCGGCAACUUGCUGCGCAAGUUCAAGUUGGUUUUCCUCGGAGAGCAGAAUGGUCAGCGCAUGGUUGAGGCUGGGGCGGGUGGCAGGUGAGGGCAUGGAGGGUGGGAGGUCUCUGGAGCAACAGGAAGCAAAUAACGGAGGCGAGAUUACUCCCAGGGUGGUGUUCGUGUUAUGCUCUCAAAUGCAUACGGUGCCUCAUAGAAUUAUAUAAGCAAAAUCAGGUUUAAAAUUCAGCAUUUCAGUCUUCAAGUUUUAUUUCAUUUGGCAGAACUGUCCAGACUGGAUUCCUUAAUUUCCAUGAAAGCUGAAUUUGACUGUAACAGUGGGCGAACUGUCUGAAAGGAACACCAUUGGUCUAUCUUGCUCAGCGUUGUCCAUGUCAGUGUUUCCCAAACUUCCCCCCCCCAUGAAAUUUAUGAGGGUGUUGGCGGACCAUUUAAUGAUUUUUGACCUGUUGUAGCAAGUGUAAUGUACUAUGCUAAAUGCUGUACAUGCUUUUUUAAUUGUAUUGUUGUUGCUUCUUUUGUUUCUGAUGUAUAUCGUAU